rnacentral:rRNA from 1 species
AGAACGAACGCUGGCGGCAUGCCUAACACAUGCAAGUCGAACGAGCUCUUCGGAGCUAGUGGCGCACGGGUGCGUAACGCGUGGGAAUCUGCCCUUGGGUUCGGAAUAACAGUUGGGAACGACUGCUAAUACCGAAUGAUGACUCCGGUCCAAAGAUUUAUCGCCCAGGGAUGAGCCCGCGUAGGAUUAGCUAGUUGGUGAGGUAAAAGCUCACCAAGGCGACGAUCCUUAGCUGGUCUGAGAGGAUGAUCAGCCACACUGGGACUGAGACACGGCCCAGACCUCCGUACGGGAGGCAGCAGGUGGGGAAUAUUGGACAAGUGGGACGAAAGCCUAG